AGUGAACGCUGGCGGUAGGCCUAACACAUGCAAGUCGAACGGCAGCACAGUAAGAGCUUGCUCUUACGGGUGGCGAGUGGCGGACGGGUGAGGUAUACAUCGGAAUCUACUUUUUCGUGGGGGAUAACGUAGGGAAACUUACGCUAAUACCGCAUACUACCUACGGGUGAAAGCAGGGGAUCUUCGGACCUUGCGCGAUUGAAUGAGCCGAUGUCGGAUUAGCUAGUUGGCGGGGUAAAGGCCCACCAAGGCGACGAUCCGUAGCUGGUCUGAGAGGAUGAUCAGCCACACUGGAACUGAGACACGGUCCAGACUCCUACGGGAGGCAGCAGUGGGGAAUAUUGGACAAUGGGCGCAAGCCUGAUCCAGCCAUACCGCGUGGGUGAAGAAGGCCUUCGGGUUGUAAAGCCCUUUUGUUGGGAAAGAAAAGCAGCAGGUUAAUACCCCGCUGUUCUGACGGUACCCAAAGAAUAAGCACCGGCUAACUUCGUG
rnacentral:rRNA from 1 species